GUACUGAUGAUGAGUUCAAAACUAGGACGAAACAGCUGUCCAGUAC
rfam:Trichobilharzia regenti genome assembly, scaffold: TRE_scaffold0067002